CCACUGUGCCCAGCAUGUUCUAGUUUUAAAGAGAGAAAAGCUAAACUUCGCAUUCCAUUGUGUAGAGAAUAGUAUAGCUUCUCUGAUCUGCUUUGAUCCCUUCUUACAGGUGUGGAGGCACAGUUGGUGCUAUUUUCACUUGUCCACUAGAAGUCAUUAAGACGCGGUUGCAGUCUUCGAGAUUAGCUCUCCGGACUGUCUACUAUCCUCAGGUUCAUCUGGGGACCAUUAGUGGAGCUGGAAUGGUGAGACCAACAUCUGUGACACCUGGACUCUUUCAGGUUCUGAAGCAGUGCCAGUAUCCUGGUGACACCUUCUAAGGAACAUGCAGUGCUUUGGACAUAAGGAAACUGAGACAGGUUUUACAGGAUAUGUGGGUUGAGUGUCGCUUAUCUGAAAUGCUUGGGACCAGAAGCAAUGUGGAUUUUAGAGUUUGGAAGAUUUGCAUUUCUUUCACCAUCAUGUUGUCACUCAAAAAGUUUCUGAUUUUAGAACAUUUUGGAUUCUUAUGGCUUUCUAAUCUCCAGUAAAUCUACCCCCCCAUAAGAGAUUCUGUGUGUGUGUGUGUGUGUGUCUGUGUGUAUCUGUUCCCUCCCCUCAAUUAGGGCAAUUGUUUAGUAAAAUUUAAAUCAAAGGGAAAAAAGCCACUCCAUGUUUUAAUACAGGAACAACUUCCACACCACACAAAAGACAAACUAUUUUCAUUACGGGCCCACUGGCUUCAUUGGUUAACACAGCCACAGCUACACAAUA